rnacentral:lncRNA from 1 species
AUUUUAAAUAAAAUAUAAAUAAAUAUUAUAAACUAAUUAAAUAUAAUUUUUAAUUUAUAAAUUGGUCAAGAUAAAAUGCACCGAAUUACAGGAGGAAUUCUACACUGUCACACUUGCACCACGUCAUCAAUAACAAGCCAAUCACAUUUCUUCUUUUCAAAUAUAAGUAUAAUAAAAAUAUCUUUUUAUAAUCAUGAUGGGACAUAUAUUUUUAAAAUAAUACAUUUGAUUGAUUUGUUACGUCACGUCACCAAUAUAUUCGUUGCAUUCUAGAAUUUUUCGAGUUAUAGAUGGCAAACUAACUUAAUCUAUAGUUACAAUAUUUUGAUAAAUACCUUUUUUUGCAUAUAAU